ensembl:lncRNA novel transcript
AAAAGCCCGGCCCUUCCUGGAUUCUAAGAAUGAAGAGCUUGCUCUCCUAGCAUUUCUGAACUCCAGAGGUGUCUCCUAAGGACGGGGGGAGAGGGGAGGGGGAAGCGGAGCCAGGCGGCAUUAUGCCCCGUUUGUUCGCUAGUUUCUUUUCUUUCUUGAUGUAUAAAAUGAUGAUAUGCCUUGAUUGGAUAAAAUAUGUUAAUUUUAAGUGAUUGGAAUAUAGGUAUUACUCUUUUAAAACUAUUAAACUUUUCUUUUCUUUUCUUUUCUUUUUUGAGACGGAGUCUCGCUCGGUUGCCCAGGCUGGAGUGCGGUGGCACAAUCUCGGCUCACUGCAACCUCCGCCUCCCGGGUUCAAGCGAUCCUUCUGCUUCAGCCUCCCGAGUAGCUGGGACUACAGGGUGAAGCAUGAAUCUGCACAUGGGGAGGCUUCAGAGGACAACUGAGACAAG